ACUCCUACGGGAGGCAGCAGUGGGGAAUAUUGGACAAUGGGGGAACCCGUCGAUCCAGCCAUGCCGCCGUGUGUGAAGAAGGCCUUAUGGUUGUAAAGACACUUUAAGUCGAGGAGGAGGCUACUGAGACUAAUACUCUUGGAUAGUGGACGUUACUCGCAGAAUAAGCACCGGCUAACUCUGUGCCAGCAGCCGCGGUAAUACAGAGGGUGCGAGCGUUAAUCGGAUUUACUGGGCGUAAAGCGUGCGUAGGCGGCUUUUAAGUCGGAUGUGAAAUCCCCCGAGCUUAACUUGGGAAUUGCAUUCGAUACUGGGGAAGCUAGAGUAUGGGAGAGGAUGGUAGAAUUCCAGGUGUAGCGGUG
rnacentral:rRNA from 1 species